GACGAACGCUGGCGGCGUGCUUAACACAUGCAAGUCGAACGGAAAGGCCCUGCUUUUGUGGGGUGCUCGAGUGGCGAACGGGUGAGUAACACGUGAGUAACCUGCCCUUGACUUUGGGAUAACUUCAGGAAACUGGGGCUAAUACCGGAUAUGAGCUCCUGCUGCAUGGUGGGGGUUGGAAAGUUUCGGCGGUUGGGGAUGGACUCGCGGCUUCUCAGCUUGUUUGUGGGGUAGUGGCUUACCAAGGCUUUGACGGGUAGCCGGCCUGAGAGGGUGACCGGCCACAUUGGGACUGAGAUACGGCCCAGACUCCUACGGGAGGCAGCAGUGGGGAAUAUUGCACAAUGGGCGGAAGCCUGAUGCAGCAACGCCGCGUGCGGGAUGACGGCCUUCGGGUUGUAAACCGCUUUCGCCUGUGACGAAGCGUGAGUGACGGUAAUGGGUAAAGAAGCACCGGCUAACUACGUG
rnacentral:rRNA from 1 species